rnacentral:rRNA from 1 species
UACGGAAGGCAGCAGGGGGAAUAUUGCACAAUGGGCGAAAGCCUGAUGCAGCUAUGCCGCGUGUAUGAAGAAGGCCUUAGGGUUGUAAAGUACUUUCAUCGGGGAGGAAAAAACAAAACUAAUAAUUUUAUUUCUUGACGUUACCCGAAAAAGAAGCACCGGCUAACUCCGUGCCAGCAGCCGCGGUAAUACGGAGGGUGCUAGCGUUAAUCAGAAUUACUGGGCGUAAAGAGCACGUAGGUGGUUUUUUUAAGUCAGAUGUGAAAUCCCUGGGCUUAACCUGGAACUGCAUUUUGAAACUGAAAUACUAGAGUAUCGUAGAGGGAGGUAGAAUUCUAGGUGUAGCGGUGAAAUGCGUAGAUAUCUGGAGGAAUACCUGUGGCGAAAGCGGCCUCCUAAACGAAUACUGACACUGAGGUGCGAAAGCGUGGGGAGCGAAACAGGGAUUAGAUACC